rnacentral:misc_RNA from 1 species
GCUCCGGGAAGAAUUUUCCUGGCUGCUUUUGCCUAAGUGCAUGCAAAUCUCCACCAGGGCAGAAUUCCAUCACCAAGCACGAAAAUUUGUCUGUUUCAAAGUGCGAAUACAGUGUUGGUAGAAAGGGAUGAUCCAGAGACUGCAGUAUCUCUCUUUCCGUUUGAGCUCUCACGAGUUUCUUGCGACUUUCUAGAGCUGCCUUGUCCAUCACUUUCAUGGCAAAGAAACAUCUUGUGCCAAUCAACUCUGCUAGAAAAACACUUCCUAUAUCACCACAUCCCAAUCUCUUCAACAGUCUAAAGUGGUUAAAACCCAAUGUUCCCUCACGGGCUCUA